AAAUCAUCUAGUAGUUAUUGCUUUAUUCACCAAAAUUGGAGUAAUAGAGAGAUUAGCAGAGCCUCUGUGUAAGGAUGACAUUCAAAGUUGUGAAAUGUUCUUGGGUGUG
ensembl:snRNA U6 U6 spliceosomal RNA